UAAAAAAUAAAAAUAAAUCAAAAACUCAACAAACAAAAAAUGCUAAUUUUAGACAGUGAAACUUGCUACAAAAAAUAUAGAACAGAGAGGCUGCUUUAGAUUGGAGCAUAAGUGAGGGCUUUUGAAAUGGUGAUAUUUGAGUGAGAGCAGGAGGUUGAGUCAGCUAUGCAAGCAAUGGAGUAUGUGAUGGCUAAUGUCAUCUGUCAACUUACUGGGCCACAGUGCCAAGACACGUGGAAACUAUUCUGGAUGUUUCUGUGAGGGUGUUUGUAGAUGAGAUUCACAUUCAAGUUGGUGAACUUUGAGUAAAGCAGAUUGCCCUCCAUGAUGUGGGUGGGUCUCCCCCAGUAAGCUGAAAGCCCAGCUAAAAAGAACAAAAAAGACUGACCUCCCUUGAGCAAGAGAAUAUUCUGGCUUUCCCAGGUCUCCAGUCUGCAACCCACCCUGCAGAUUUUGGACUUGUCAGCCUCCAUAAACACAUGAACCAAUUCCCUAAAUAAUUCUCUUUCUAUUAAUACGUACAUGCACAUCCGAUUGGUUCUGUUUGUCUAGAGAGCCCCGACUAACUCAAGGUGGGGGGUAUUCUGUGCAGAGAGAACAGCAAUCCCUGAGACAGGAAGUGAGCCUUCAAGUUGGCAAGAAGGCUGGCGUGUGGGGCUGGGUGGAGGAGGGGGUGCAGGGCAAGGUGGGGCCUUGUGGAAACAAGCCGUUGGGAUAGAGCACUGGACCUGGGAGAGGACUGCUCAUCCAGCACAAGGGGGGAAGCCAGGUGCCAAGGGACUAAGAUGCAAGUAGGUGGGGAGGAAGCCGGAGCUGCUCUGGAGACAACUCUCUCAAGAUGUUUAGUGUUUACAGAAUGAAGAGAAGAUGUAGAAGGGGGGUUUUAAAGAAAGAGAAUCUUGCUUAUGGGUAUGGGAAGGCUGAUGAGAGACAGACUGACAUGGCGAGAGAGAGAGAGAGAGAGAGAGAGAGAGAGAGAGAGAGAGAAUAACUGGUGAGGGGAAGGCCCAGACAUGGGUGGGUGGAAGGUUAGGGCAUUGUAGUGGGAUGAAUGGUAUCUCCACCCCAAAUAUAUCCACAUCCCAAUACCCAGACCCCCGAAUGUCACCUUACAUGGGAAAAGAGUCUUUGUAGACACAAUCACAUUAAGAAUCUUGGGAUGAGAUCAUCUUGGAUUAUCUGUGUAGGCCCUAAAUCCAAAAACAAGGGUUCUUAUAAGAGACAGAGGAGAAGACACAGGGACACACAAACAGCAACUUGACCGUGGAGGAAUGAUUGGAGUGAUGCUGCCAAGGAAGCCGAGGAUUGCUGGGAGCCCCCAGAGCCUCCGGAGGGAGUGCAGCCCUGCCAACAACUUGAUUUAGGACUUCCAGCCUUUGGAACUCUGACGAAAUGCAUUUCGGUCGUUUUAGAGCGCCAGGUUUGUGGUAAGUCAUUACUGCAGCCCAAGGAAACAAAUGCAGCCACAAACAACCCAAUGUGACACCCCUUCCUCCUAGAAGCGUGGGGCUGUCACUGGGCUGGGGAACGUGUGCUGCCUUGGGAUGCCUCGUUGACCCUGGGCUCUGUUCCUGCUCCCAUGGUUUUUAAACAUUUUACAUGUUUCUGUCAUAGGAAGCCAAGUGAUGCAGGGAAAUGACAUGGCCUUGGGAGACAGACCUGCCAGGCUUUGGAACACAGCUUCUCGGUAUUCCAGUGUGAUUCCUGAGUCUCGGAUUGAAGGUUCUAAUUUAUGUAGAAUGCUUAGCACAGGCCCUGGGACCUGGUGAGACAAAAAGAACUGAAGCCACGAGUGGCACCCAGAUCCGAUUCCUGGGCCUGCUAUACCAUCCUGAUCAAGAGAUUCUUUAGUAAAGAAAGUUGAAUCCACCCAGGUUUUUGCCAUCUGCUUCCCGAGAGCUAGCCUAAGUCCUUCCUGCUACAGUCUUUCUGUGGCCCCCUGCUGAGCCCCAGAGCCAAACCCUGUCCUGGUUCCAGCCCAGCUUUCUCAUCCGAUGUUUGUCUCUCUUUUCUUUUCCCACAGUGGGGUGUAGGGUUAAAGCGUAUUGCUAAAAUGGUGUCUCUUCGUGGAUCUUUUCGCAUAACAUUUAAUCGCUGGUAAUGACCGUGACCCCAGUGGCAGUCAUCUAGUGAACUUCAAGCUGGCAUUUCAAUUAGCAGUACUGAUCGCGGGGUUUGGGCAUUCCAUAUAUUUGUGAGGAAGCGCAGCCCAAGAGCAGUCAGCUAAGGGACUUAUUAGCACAGUGCUUCUUGGGGGGAAUAAAUAACCUCAUUACAGUUUCUUUUGCUCUGGUUGAGAGAAAGGAAGAAAAGUUGACUCUCUCGGGCAGUUAUUUGCAUGGAGAAGGGCUCGGUGCCCACAGCUGCCUGUAACAGGAGGGUUUUUCUCUCCUCCCUGCUCCCCCCGGCACUCCCCUCUCCUUUUCUCCUCCCCUCCCCCUCAUUUCCUUUCCUCUUCUUCUCUUUCUUUUCCUUGUUAAAGCCUUUGGUGGUAAUAAGGUAGCUUAGCGUCCCAAGUGGGUACAACUCCCCCCACCCCCCGCCAAAUGCUCAUGCAGACCCUUGGACCCCCAUGAAGGUCAAAGUCCUUUUCUUCCCCUGGUGCCCAGGAGUCCCCCCUACCUGCCAGGUGCUUACAAGCCAGGUGCCCCGUGGGUCUGCCGUGUGUGUCCUCAUGUCCUUCCUCUCCUGCAGGGACAUCCUUUCACGGUGUCCCCUUCUCACUAGGCUUCCUGGGGCACCUCCCUGUGGCCAGUGCUGCUGGCACCCCUGGUGGGAGGGUGGCACCCGGAGGGCACAGUGUCUCCUGCUCCUGCGUAGCUUGGCUGUCUGGGGUGGGGUCACUCAGAGCUCCCAGGAUGUCACAACCUCCCAUGGGGGGGGGACCUGGGCCCCGGAACACAGAGGGUUUGACUCCCGCUUGUCCUGCAUCGACCCUCUUGUCUCCUCUGGAUGCCACCCUCAGCUCUGCCCCUCUUCCUUGUCCUCGCCCCAUGCAGCCACAUAAAUAAAACAACAAACAAAGAAAUGAGCAAAACCCCACAUGGCAGUAAACUCAGGCAGUAAACUCAGGUGCCACACAGGCUCGGCUGGGACAUGCCGCCACUUCAAAAGGAAUCACUAAAAAUGGGAGCUUGUGUUUAAGUUUUGAUGUACCCAACUGCACACGCUCUAUUCCCAGUCAGGGUCACUGCCUUACAUUACUGUAUCCCCAAGCAGACACCAGUGUGGUCCCUGGAAGAGCCUUGGACUUGGUGGAGUGAAAGACCCUGGUUUUGAUCCCGUGUCACUUUACACUGUGUGAUUUGGGGCUGUUAUUUAAUAAUUUUUUCCUUAAUGUCUUCAUCUUGUAAACCCAGUAAGGUCAAAUGAGCUAAUUUGAGUAGUAGACUAUUUUUCUGGUGCAUAACAGAGAAUAAUAUAUAUUUUUUUUUUACCAAUAAACUCACUGUACUGCUUCAGAACAUG